AUGUGCACUGGGGAAAAAAAAACAACCCCCCAGCAAAACACUUUUUUUACAGCUGGUAUGACUAUUGUUGCUGCAGCCCCUUGCAGUGGGUGCUCACAAGAGCAGGUCAUGGAUGCGCUGAGCACAGAUGAGUCCAUCCCUCCUUUCCCCAUCUGUCCUCUGAACAGAGGUUCAGAUCAAGAAGUGCACAGAAGUGCUGAAGUAUUGUCCUGGUCUCGACAGAUUUACAGGCUGAGGGUGCCAUAAGAUGAGGUAAGAUCAUCUUCUUGCUGACUACUGCUCACUAAUCCUGCAUCCUCUCCAAUCCAACUGUUAAGAACCUACCAGUUAUCUAUGCAACUUCUGCCACCUGUAAGGCCCUUUUUAUGCUGAUUUAACUCACUAACAUGGCAAAAAAUUUACUACAGCAGGAAAAAAAAGUGUUUUGUUUUAAGCUGAAUUCAUGAGUUGAUUUCGCUCCUGGUUUUAUUUCCAUAGGUGAGUAGGAAACCUCCUUUUAGCUCAUUAGUGGGGACUAAUUCUCAUAUCCAGUUUCUCAUCUCCUGAACCAUUUGUCCUAGAUUUCCUUUUGACAAGUGUAGGUACUUGCAAAAUGAACCUCAUGCCUUUUGCCUCCUCUGUCUAGAGAGAGAGUAUUUUAUCACUGCAGAUGGAUGCAGUACUGAACAUUUCCUUCCCAGCACCAUGUGGAGCUGGGCUUGCAGGCUGCUUGGAAAGUGCAUGAAAUGCACAGCCCCAAGUGUUGGGGAGGGAAAAACAGUGGACAAAUAAAGGAAUUAUUUUUAUGUGCA
rnacentral:lncRNA from 1 species